rnacentral:rRNA from 1 species
UGACCUCGGAUCAGGAAGAAUAGAUGGUAAC